AUAUCUCUUCCCAUUUUCUCUUCCAAUUUCAAUUUCUCGUCCCUCAUGGCCCGUCUGGCGAUCUUCACGGUUUUCCUAGUCGCCGUCAUCCUCACCCUCUCCGCCACCUCCGCGACGGCGCGUCCCUGCAGGACCUUCAUAAUCUCCUCAUACUCCUUCCGCAACCCUAACUCCAACACCUUCGCAACCAUCACCGAGAUCCGAUCCUUCACCCCUCUCUUCAUCACCGACAAACCCUCUUCCUACGACGUUUUCUUCCCCCACGCGCUCCCUCAACCGGAGCGCGUCAACCCACGCGCACCUCUAGGGUUUGCCUCCGCGUACGACUUCACCUCCCUACGCGACCGCACCAAGGACAUCCUUAGCGUCGCCCUCGCACUCCUUUUCGGCGUAGGUUGCGGUGCCCUCACGGCCGCCACCAUGUACCUCGUCUGGUCUGUCUUCUCCACGCGCCACCGCGCCGCGGCCUACGACGACUUCUCCUCAGACGAAGAGAUCGAGUCCCCCAAGAAGUUAGGAUACGUGAAGAUUCCGGCCACCGAGACCGUUGCCGCCGCUCCAACGCUU
rnacentral:lncRNA from 1 species